UUCUGAAGAGGUAGUAGUGAUCAGGACAAGCAUGGCUAAGCCUAAAUCUCUUGUGAAGGUUUAUUUGUUUGCCAUAUUCAUUAUCUUCAUCUUUAAAAUCGACAUGGCAACGGGGAAGAGUUGCAGUUUUCUGAGCAAAACAUGGCGUGGGAGAUGCAGACUACUAGCCCACUGCGACACGAAAUGUAGGGAUGAAGAGGGAGCGGUUGCCGGAGAAUGUCGCGGGCGUUGGUCAAGCAAAUGCUAUUGCUAUUAUGAAAAAUGUCCACCGACCCUAUAAAUAAAGAUUUUUGUAUUGUAGACAUUUGGGUUUUAUUCUGUGAACAUAGGUCAUAGACCGAAUCACAUAAAUUUUGUGUCUAUUUUAUUAUUUUGCCAUUGUCUUUAAUUAUUUUUCUAUUCCAUUAUGUUUUCUUUCAAAUAUCAUAAGUAUACAUGCAUGUGUUAGUAUCAAAGAA